GUGCUCGCUUCAGCAGCACAUAUACUAAAAUUGGAACGAUACAGAGAAGAUUAGCAGCAUGGGCCCUACACAAGGAUAGCACACAACUUCACGAAGCAUUCCCUAUUUUU
ensembl:snRNA U6 U6 spliceosomal RNA